rnacentral:rRNA from 1 species
UUGGUUAAGGGCAAUUGAAUGGCCGCGGUAAAUCUGACCGUGAUAAUGUAGCGCAAUCAAUAGCCAAUUAAUUGUUGGCAAGUAUGAAUGGCGUCACGAAUGCCCUACUGUCUCAAGAUAAAAACCAAUGAAAUUGAAGUCGUAGUGAAGAUGCUACGUUCAAAUUAUAAGACGAGAAGACCCCAUUGAGCUUUACUGGAGGCUUAUAUUGUUUUUUUCGAAUUAAUGUUUAGAUUAUGUGGGUAUAAUGAAGGCCAAGUUGGAUUUAUAUGAAAAACCACUUAUUAAUUAAAAAAAAACUAAUUAUUUUAAAUUAAAGGCAGGAGAGUAUAAGUUGGACAGUUUAGUUGGGGCGACUGCCUUCUAAAGAGUAACGAAGGUGUACAUAAGGUGAAUAAUAUAAUAGUAUAAAGUAAGAAGCCUGACAGCAAGAAGGACUUUCGAGCUGACACAAGUAAGGGAAUGAUAUUGGUCUUAUUUUGUGGGUUAUAAUGACCCGUUAGUUAAGAAUGGAAUUGCUAGCGAUUAACGAAUAAAAGUUACCAUGGGGAUAACAGCGUAAUAUCGUUU